rnacentral:rRNA from 1 species
CUACAGGCUUAACACAUGCAAGUCGAGGGGAAACGACAUCGAAAGCUUGCUUUUGAUGGGCGUCGACCGGCGCACGGGUGAGUAACGCGUAUCCAACCUGCCCACCACUUGGGGAUAACCUUGCGAAAGUAAGACUAAUACCCAAUGAUAUCUCUAGAAGACAUCUGAAAGAGAUUAAAGAUUUAUCGGUGAUGGAUGGGGAUGCGUCUGAUUAGCUUGUUGGCGGGGUAACGGCCCACCAAGGCGACGAUCAGUAGGGGUUCUGAGAGGAAGGUCCCCCACAUUGGAACUGAGACACGGUCCAAACUCCUACGGGAGGCAGCAGUGAGGAAUAUUGGUCAAUGGACGAGAGUCUGAACCAGCCAAGUAGCGUGCAGGAUGACGGCCCUAUGGGUUGUAAACUGCUUUUAUAAGGGAAUAAAGUGAGUCUCGUGAGACUUUUUGCAUGUACCUUAUGAAUAAGGACCGGCUAAUUCCGUGCCAGCAGCCGCGGUAAUACGGAAGGUCCGGGCGUUAUCCGGAUUUAUUGGGUUUAAAGGGAGCGUAGGCCGGAGAUUAAGCGUGUUGUGAAAUGUAGACGCUCAACGUCUGCACUGCAGCGCGAACUGGUUUCCUUGAGUACGCACAAAGUGGGCGGAAUUCGUGGUGUAGCGGUGAAAUGCUUAGAUAUCACGAAGAACUCCGAUUGCGAAGGCAGCUCACUGGAGCGCAACUGACGCUGAAGCUCGAAAGUGCGGGUAUCGAACAGGAUUAGAUACCCUGGUAGUCCGCACGGUAAACGAUGGAUGCCCGCUGUUGGUCUGAAUAGGUCAGCGGCCAAGCGAAAGCAUUAAGCAUCCCACCUGGGGAGUACGCCGGCAACGGUGAAACUCAAAGGAAUUGACGG